UAACAGAAAGCUAGAACAAGAAAUUGAAUUUAGAAAUAAGCACUUUAGACAACUCAACAAUUGUUUUAAGAAACUUGUAAAAGUAAAAUGAAACUACUGCUAGUAUCAUGUUCCUACUAAAGAAAGUGAUUCAGAGAUAGUAUUUGUACUAAACCAAAAGAUGCCGCUCUUAACGGUACAGUUAAUGAUAAAGCAAUUUAAAAAAUAAAACAAACGUAAUUACUAAAGCUGCUGCAAUAACCAAGAAGCUAAAUUUUAUUGCUAUUCAAAAUCAUCAAUAAUAGAUUAUUUACGGCUGUAAUAGUUGAUAUAUUUGUAGAGAAUUGCACGUGCCAUGGCUAUUUAUCGACUCAAAGCGAGUGCGGGGUAGUCAGAAACUGAAGACACGCAACUGAAGCGUGCACAUUUAGCCGUGUCGAGACCAACUUUCUGUAAAGUGCACGGGUCACCCUAGUAGUGGAAAAGCGACAGUUGAAAGAGAGUGUGAUGUUUCCCAGCACAAAAAGAACGUGCAUAGGGAAUUGUGGGAUGUUAUGAUGGCCAUGUUAAUGUUAGAGAAUUGGUAUAUGAGCUCUUGUGAAAUAUUGGUGGAUAGAGGGUGUGUUCGGUUAGACCAUAUGAUCGACAGGUAUAGAUAAGGAGGAGCAUUUAUAGAGGUUUGUCCAGACUUUUGAAAAGUCAACAUGAGGAUAGGAGUAGUGUGAUGGUUUUCCAACAGAAAGGAUUUCAGUUUUAUCAUGGUUUAGUUUGGAGCCAGAUAUAGAGCCAAAUGUUUUGAAUUGUUCGAGGAGAGUGCUGUAUGAAGAAAGUCUAGAUAUUAUAGCAGAACAGUCAUCUGCAUGCUGAAAUAACUUAAUCUCUGAAGGGUGGUUAGGGAUCCUGAUGCCUUUUAUGAGGAUGUUUUUGUUUAUGUAUGAAGCAAGGGGGUUGAUACACAAUGAGUAUAGAAUCAUGGAUAGUGGACAUCCUUGACGAAUCGAUCGGUUAAUUUUAAUAUUUUGGGAAAAGGAUCCAUUUACUUGGACUUUACUAAUCAAGUUUUUAAACAAUAUUGUAACCCAGUUAAGGAUGUAAUUUGGGAAAUUAAUAUGUUUAAGUAGAUUUAUGAUAUAGUUGUGUUCAAUGCGAUCGAAGGCUUUUUCUUGGUCAAAUGAUAAUAUAUAGGCACUGGACUCAUUUGUGUUUAUAUAAUUUAGUAUUGUAUCUAUUGAAUAUAGGUUAUCAAAAAUGCUUUUAUUUGGUCCAGCUCCUGUUUGUGUAUUAGAGAUUAAUUUGUUAAUAACAGAAUUUAUUCUUGUGCUUAGAAUUUUUGUUAUGAUUUUAUAGUCCACACAUAACAGGCUUAUCGGUCUAUAGUUCUUGAGUAAUCGAUGGUCGCCUUUAUUCAUGUAGUUAAUUGUUAUGAUACCCGUUCUCAUUGUGUUAGAUAAUUCCCCCUGUAGAUAGAUGUUGUUUAAUACUUCUGUUAAAUCGUUUCCUAUAAUGUCAAAGAAUUUUAUGUAGAAAUCUCCUGGAAUACCAUCUAUACCCGGGCUACGGUUUGUUCUAAAUUUUUGUAACGCCUUAAGGACUUCAUCUCUAGAUAUAAAAUGUGAUAUUGAAUCUCUUUCCGUGUUUGUUAGUGUGUUUAUGUCACUGUUUUCAAUAUAGGACUUCAUUAAGUUAUCAUUAAUAUUUUGAGAAGUAUAUAGUUGUUGGUAGAAUUGGUGAAUUGUGUCUAAUAUAUCUUGUUUAUUGUCACAGAUUGUAUUAUUUUGAUUGAUCAGUUGUUUAAUUUGUUUUUUUGCACCCUUUUUAACUUCUGCUAAUUUAUAUAAUUUAGAAUUAGUAGAUACAUCAAUUUGGGGUAUUUCUAAUUUUGAACGUAUAACGUAGCCUUGUUUGGUAUUAUAUUCUAUAAGCUCAAUUUUUGAUUUAAUCUCGUUUAUAGAGUUAUUCUUACUAGGUAUUUCAUUUUCUAGGGAUUCCAGUUGUUGAUAAAGGUUACUGAGGAUAUGUUUGUUCUCAACUGCUAAGGCUUGACAGUAAUUUUGUGUAAUAUUUCUAAUAGCGGCUUUACCUUUUUCCCACCAUUGUAUGUUGUCAAUGAUUUGGUAUUUUUUGUUUUGCCAGCUUGACCAGAAUGUUUUAAUUUGAUUUUGGUAGUUUUUAUCAUCUAGAAUAGAAUUGUUAAGUUUCCAAUAUCCUUUACCCCAUUUAAGAUUGUUAAGGUUGAUAUUUAGUUCCACUGCUUUAUGGUCCGUGAAAUGAAGUGGUAUAUGUUUAAUUGAUUUGAUGUAAGUUGCAUAUUUAUUACUUAGGCCGUGUUGAAUUGAUUCCUUGUUUCUCCUCGCCCGCGCUUAGGUCGAGGACCCCGAAAAUCGUGCGCUUACGUUUUUAACACAAAAAAAAAAAUUCAAAAAAUUACGUUAAUAACAUCUAAAUAAAAUUCUACCAAACAUCAGAAGUCAAUUCUCGUUGUUUAUUCCUCGUUACGAACUAAAUAAGUAAGUGCAGGGGGCCGCACUACACGCAAAACAAAAAUCUACAAGAUAAACCUGCGUACAAGACAGAAAAUAGGCAUUGCACCGAAUAAACAAAUAUCAAAUCAAGUGAAUGGAUCCGGUUGAUAAUACACAUGUAGGGGCCCGCAUACUAUGGAAUAAGUUACACUGUAUAUGAUUGGAUGAAUUCCGCAAAAUGGCGCGUGUAGCAGUCAUUUCGGCUAUUGAGAAAGCAUAUUAUAAACUGUAAGACAAUCGCUAAUAUUCAACCGCGAACCUGAAUAAUCAAUUUUUUCAUUGGCUAAAAUUAUAACACAUGUCAUUAUUAUUCAAGUAUUACCCAAUCAUAUCUUGUGUAAUAAAUAACGCACGCCUUACAAAAUGGUGAGCUAUGCCGGGACAUAGGUAAAUUCGCGUACCGGUCGGCCUAAUUUAUUGAUGUUCAAGGAAAUAAUAGUGGCCCCGUUCGUUGGUUUCUGGAGUUUAACGAACGAACGAACAAACGGGACCACUAUUAUUUCCUUGAACAUCAAUAAAUAAAUUAGGCCGACCGGUACGCGAAUUUACUUAUCUCGACUCGACUUCGGUGGUUAUUCCCAGCACUUUCACGUUCGAUGAUAUUAUCGAAACCAUCUAUAACUCAACAAGCAAAUCAAAUAUCGUCUAACUGGAAUGUUUCCAUUGUAUUUUAACACAAGAAUACGGAAAAUUUAUAUCAAAAUAUGGUUAUUUCAUUUUUUAAAAAGUUAAACAAAGAAGCCACUUGUUACCAAAUUUUAGUUUGUUAUUAAAUUUAUUUAAUUAAAUAUUAUCUGUGUUUUUAUUCUAACCAAUAAUAUAACUAGAUUAUUUAUAAUAUUAUUAAAAAUGGUACACAACCCUCAGACUAUAUAGGUAUUAUGCCAGACCACUUUGUGUUUUGAAACCCACUUUGUGUUGUGUUUACCGCACUACCGCACAUGAUUGCCAGAGUGGUGGCAGGAGAAACAAGGAAUCAAUUCAACACGGCCUUAUGUAAAUGCGGUCUAAUCUGCUAGCAUGACCUUGUGAGUUGUGAUAGGUAAAAAGGGGAGUGUCAGGGGAGAUAAUUCUGUAACCAUCACUUAUAUUAAGUAGAUUUUGUAUAUCAAGUAGAUAUCUUAUAGCAUCUUUUGGAUGGUUAUUCAUGUUGCCAUGGUUGUUAUCUUUACUGUUUUCAAUAAGGUUAAAAUCACCAGUAAUAAUAUAAGAAUGUUGUGGAUUAUGAAUAGUUUUGACAUAUUCAAGAAGUCUCUUGUAGUAAUAAGUUUUCAAUUCUCUCUUGCAGGGACCAUAUAUAUUGAAUAUUUGAAUAGUUUCAUUAUUUGCAUUUACCUCCAGAUGUUGGAGCCUACCUGCUAAUUCAUCAGGUGUAUUGUAGAGUUUAUGUAUAAUGUUUGGGCUUAAUAAUAGGGCAAUGCCAAUCUUUGUUUCUUUAUAUGCAGUGUAUCAGUUAUAGCCAGUUUCGUUUUCAACAUUUUUUAUUUGAUGGACAUUGGAUUUUAGGAUUUCUUGUAUACAAACAAUAUCUAGUUUGUUAAAUAUAUUGCUAAUUUGUUUAAUCUUUUGAAGAUUUCCUUGUAGAGCGUUUAUGGAGUAAAUUAACAUAAUAAUUAGGUAAAUAAUAGGGAUAGAAGGCUUCAUUGUUAACUAAUAUGGUUUCAAGAACUUAUAACGUCUUAAUUUGUUUGAUCUCUAAACUUCUGUUUCGGUAAGCGGGGAUUCCGCUCGCGCCCUUUUAUCAUCUAUUUCUGUUUCGGAUAAACUAUCAAGGCUUCUUUCCCUUUUACUUACUGUGUCACACUUAGUGACUGUAGAGAUAUUUAACAAUGAGACAUCAGCGUCAUAGUUAAGAUUUGACUGCGAUGUUUCAGGGAUAUCAUGGGAUGAGUUGUCAAUGAUACUGUUAUCCUCUAAAUAACUUUGACCCACUGAGGAUCCUGUGUUAAUGGGGGUGGAAGAAACAUGACCACUAGAUGUAUCAAUAAUAGACUUAUUAAAAUCAUUGAUAAAAUGGCUAUCAGGGCUGAGGAUAACUUUUGUUGUAUCGGUAGUGAUAGGAAUGUCAUUGUUGACUACUGUUGUUUUUAUGGAGUCUAGAGUAGUUAAGUCCUGGUUUAGACUUCCUGGGUUUGCGGGUUUGACUUGACCAGAAUUAUAGACAUUUGUUUUUGUCGUAUUAUUUUUUGAGGGGAUAAUAUUAAUGACACCAGGCUUAAUUCACAUCUCGAAAAUCACAUGCUGUUCUUCACUGGAAGGGAGUGAGUACCAAUUAAUCAGACAAUUGCCAGACAGACUUGAAUGUUAAUUGGUGUUAAGUUGUCUGUAUAGUUUUUUUUUAUUGACCCAAUUAACUGAUAGAUCAAAUGAAUAUAUAGUGUACAUGUUAUUUUCAGCACCCUGGUGUUUUCGAAAAUUGAUUCAAUGUGCAAUGAACAAAAAAAAUGAGUAAAACUCUUAAUAAUGUAAUUGGUUGAUGUAAUCGAAAUUGGACAGUAUUGGUUAACUGAAAAGUAACCAAUCAAAUUUAAUUGACCAUCCACGUGUAUCUCAUAAUCGACUUAAUGAUAUAAUGGUUCUCCAAGUUAUCUAUACUUUUUGUCUGCGAUAUCACUUCGGUGGAAGCGGACGUAAAAUACAACUAACUAAGAAGAAGUGUCUAUACUUUAGUCAUUGCGACAAAUUCUUUCUUUGAUAUUAUAUCAGCGACAUUCAGUUAGAUGAAGUGAAGUUAGCAUCAACAGAGUGCUUUAGCUGUGAUAUUUUAAAAAAAAUUAUAAUGGUCACAUAGAAUACCAGACCGCAGGUUUGUAAAUUUUUACAAAAAAUAAAACCGUGUAUUUAAUUUAGCAUGUAUAUAUUGCUUCUAUGUAUAUAAUAAUUCGUUUCAUUUAAAACAGUCAGAUUUAGAACCACUGCCACUGACUGCACCGGAAGUCUAUUUAUAUAAUGGCGCCACAAAGAAAUUUUUUUUGAUGUGUUCUAAAAGUGUUCUGCUAAUUCAGAAAUCUAAUGAAUCUGUCUAAAUUUUUCUGAAAUCAUGCUUAAUUAUUAUUAGCUAAUCGGCGCUACACCGUUGUUCAAAUACUUAUAAUUGCAAGAAACCCCCGACUAGGACCAGCAGGUAAGAAUCUGUCUUGAUUUUAUAGUAAUACCCGGUUGCCAUUAUUGGCCUCCAUCUUUGAUUUUUAUAGACGUUCGGGCAAAAGGAGAAAUGUAUAUCCAGACAAGGACUAUAGCUAGAUACUAACUUUUGUGUUAGUUGAAAUGUAAUCUUAUUUCUGUAAAAGAAAAAAACAACAACAAACAAAUCAGCCUUUUUUAUAUAUCAAUGUCAUCUAUGUGUAGGCCUAAUAGUAAUAUUAGACUUUCAAUGAUUCAGAAGUUUCUCUACAGUUUCGUUAUUUUUUUUCCAGUCAUUGAUGUUAGCAUGUACUACACAAAGAAAAACAGUUUCCAUAUUAGAUGCCAUAGCAAAUCAAAGAUCAUAUAAUAAAAUAAGUCAAAAAACCCAAAUAUGGAAAAAGAAAGAGCUGAAGAAAUGGUGAUUUGAGCACCUAUGCUUUCUCAUAGGUGUUUUUGGAGGUUUCCAUAUUAGAUCAUAUCAAAGAUCAUAUAAUAAAAUAAGUCAAAAAACACAAAUGGGAAAAGAAAGAGCUGAAGAAAUGGUGAUUUGAGCGCCUAUGCUUUCUCAUAGGUGUUUUUUGAGGAUGCCAUAGCAAAUCAAAGAUCAUAUAAUAAAAUAAGUCAAAAAACCCAAAUAUGGAAAAAGAAAGAGCUGAAGAAAUGGUGAUUUGAGCACCUAUGCUUUCUCAUAGGUGUUUUUGGAGGUUAACUGCAUCAGAAAGAUCAAGACAGUUGGAAAUGGCUAUUCAUAUUAUGGAAACUUUUUCUCACAGAGCUUGAUAAUCAGGUAAAAUACUGGAAGAUUAUUUGGUGUAUGAUAACAACAAGAGAUCCCAAGCAUCAAUUUAUUUUAUAAUUCUGGAAAAGAAUGCAUUUGACCCAAUUUUUGAAUAUUUAUUUUUUGUUUUUACUGUUAAAUAUUCUUCCCAAACACAAUUAGAUUUUAAUUCUCUACAGAAAUUUAUGUAUAAUAUAGAAUGUAAAGUGACAUAUUAAUCACUUAGAAUUUGGUCGGAAAUCAUAAAGUAUUUAAUAGGCAUAAUCUAGAAACCAAAUGUAGAUCAAAUAUACCCAGAAUUACAAAAAACCUUGACCUACAUUAAGGUGACUUUCCCCUGCUUAUGAAAUGAAAUAGGGUUUAAGAUCCUACUUUUCUGUGUUAUUAUGGUGUUUCUGUCCUACAACCUACUCUUAUAACAAAUAUUUCAACUGUCAAGGGUUGUUUAAAGGGAACCCAGGAGGGCCAAAUGGUUAACACACGCACAUUGGAUCAGAAGGUCUGUCAUUGAGUCAGAUAAUUCAAUUGUCAAGGUUUCUUUAAAGUAAACGCAGUGGGGGUAGUUUCAAUUCCGGGCUUAUACCCAAUUAUCCCUUGCUAUGUCCUACACUACUGACGUGUGGGAACUAUGUCGGAAAAUCCAGUUGAAAUUUCUCGGCCAAUGCCUUAUACUCACUGAACCACAGUGACUCCUCCUUGCUUUUGACUCAUAAUUAUUUAUAUAUAUUUUGUACAUAUUAUUUAAUGUUUGCGAUUUUCUCUGAUAUUUUUUUAUUUUUCAAUCCUGUAAUCUUGAUGCUUUGCUCCUUUUAUGUACAAAAUAUUCAUUUUGUUUGUUGUUUUUUUUUUAAUGAGGAAAAGGUUCUACAUCAUUUUAUUACUCCUGCAAAAUAGUGCAUUUUUCUUUUGUUAGUUUUCUGUGUAUGCUAGUUAUUUCUAGAUGCCUCACAAAUCACUUGUAAUAUGACUUUGUAGCACUUUUCAGUUUCUGAAAGUAUUUCAAUUUAGUGCAUAUUUAAUCUAAUUAGGGCUUGGUUUGGAUGUUAUUAAAUAUAGAUAUAUUUGAAUUAUAUAUUUUUUGGGUAUGGGGUAGGGAUCUUUCUUUUCUCAGUUCUUGUUUUCGGGUAAAAAAAAAAUUAAAUAGCUAUUUUGUAUUUUGUAAUGUGGGGGGGGGGGCAAAGUUUAACAACAUUUUUAUUAGUAUUAGAAUUAUAUCUCUGUUUUUCUGUUAACAUUUCAAAUGAUGUCUAUUUAGUUUUGAUUUGGUGGUGUUAAUUUACUUUUCCUGUCAUUUUAUGAAUAAAUGAUAAUUUAACAAAUAAAAUUAUUGUUACCUCAUUUAUCAAACUUUACAGGUUAAACAGAGCAAAAGGGGUGGGGGCUGCAUGGGAAAGAUUGCUAAAUUGAGGGAAAAUAAAACACAAGUUUUUGUUGGUGGUUAUACACAAGUUUUUAUGAAACCACACAAGUUUCAGAAAUUUCAACACAAGUUUCAGAAAUUUCAACACAAGUUUCAACACAAGUAUUGUGUAGAUUUUCACACAAGUUUGUGUUGUUUGGUAAAUUUUAACACAAGUCUUGUGUUGUUUCAACAUUUAACACAAGUUUGUGUUCUUUCAACACAAGUUUGUGUUGUUAAAGAAAGACACCUAACUUGUGUUGAAAACAACACAAGUUUGUGUUGGUUCAACACAAGUUUUUUUUCAGUGUAACAACACCCGCACGAGUCAUAGCGAUCGAGAAAAUUUGUCACUCUCGCAUGUACAUGUGUUUUUUAUUGUUUAGCUCAACCAGAAUUUGUUCAGUGUCAUGUUCCUUUUACCGUUGCCUGUCAACAUGUAAGCUACUUGCUCAACUCGAUGCUUUAGAGGAGACAAAUUAUUAUAACGUUUUAAAUAUUUAUUUAUGUAAAGGACUUUAUAUUUGUUAUUAAUUAUAUUUUCUGUGAUACAUGUAUUUGUUUUUAUUUACAUAUAUUUAGUUCUGUGAUAAUGUUUUAAUUUGUCUCGUAAAAUUCACCAUAUGUUUGGCGCAAUAUAGCUCGGUUGGGGCUGACGUGCCACAAAACUCAAUUCCAUUGUCAAGUCUUUCUUUAAAUUAGGAAUACACUAUCCAGGUAUGUCAUGAAAGUUUUUGAAUGAUUACUGGAAAGUAAGACAACCUUGUCAAAGUUGUCAGUGAUAAAGAAGCGGGAGACAUUCUCAGCGAUCUCUACAGUGACCUCUGACCCCAACUCUGGGCCCCGUUUCUCGAAAUCUUAACUAAAGAUAAAAUCCAAUUUUAGUAGAUACUUCGAUUUUGAUUGGCUAAGCACUAAAAUCAAUCUAAUAUUAUCCAAUCAAAUUACUAAAAUUUGGAUUUUAUCUUAGUUAAAAUUUCGUGAAACAGGCCCCUGGUCCCUAUAGUUCUCCUAAAUUAAACCAAUAAGACGCAGGGCUCGUUUUUUUUUGCUUACCUCUUAGCUUACCUGAAUCACCUCACAGAAGACACGGUGAUAAUUUUUAAAAAUGUGUAUGCACAAAAUGAGUAUUGUAUCACUGGCAUCCAAACAGUACCUAUCAAUUUCCUUAGAGUAAAAUAUUAAAAGAAUGCAUUAUUUUUUUGUAUCGAUUUUAUUCGCCGGUUAAAUUCUUGCUUUUAAUUUAUAUUAUCACUGAAAACGAAAUCAAUGAUAAACAGCCUUUGUCAAGAAUGUGAGUACUAUGAAAUGAAAUGAAAUGGGGUUUAACGCCCCACUGUUCUGCUCCGAACUGGGCUAAUGAAGACGGGCAUACGGCAUACAGUGUGCUAUGAGGGAUCUUUUACGUGCACGCCAAUGUCUACAAGGGACCGCGGGUUUCCGGCCCAUCAGAACGACUAGACAGCUGUCCUUGUCAGGGAUCGAACAUCCGACCUCCAGACUAGCGAGCCAGCGUCUUUUUUUUAAAAUUAAAAUCCAGAUACAUACAUUCAAAUGUUUACAAUAUAAAAAUAAAACAUUAAAAGACAAUUAUAUCACAGAUUGUAAAUAAACGGUAU